AGAACAAUCAGUGCAGAGAUCAGUAGUGUCUAGGUAGAGAAACCUCAUCAAGAAGAACAGAAGGAAAACCUCAAUCUAAAUUUGGGUCCUUAUCCAAGCUAAGAACCCAAAAGAAAAGGAAAAUGCCCCUGGAUCGUCUGUAUAUAAAAGGGGAAAAAAAUAACAUAUUUAUAUAUUUAUUUGGGCGAUGAAGCAUAACCCAAAUGAAAAACCUCAAUGGAAGAGGACCCAAAAAAGAAAAAAAAAUGCAGCAGAAGCAGAGUAUUACUGUAGUUACUGGUUCCUGUUUAAGGGAGGACUCAUAAUCUUUCAAUCUCAAGCCCUUCAGGGCUCUCCAAGAUGCUCUCCAAAGAUGGUUUCCAAGCUUUAACUUUCCCUCUUUCUCUCUCUCUCUCAAUCUCUAGGAGAACAUCUUCUAGCUUCUUCCCUUCAUUUUAACCUUCAGCUGAAACAUCAACCACUGAAGCUCCUCCUUCGUAAGCACUAUCUUAACCUUAAGGCCACUCCUGUCAUCAAAAUCACCGCUUUCCUUCCCAAAAUCAGCCUUCGGUUCUUUCUUUUGAUAAUCUUGAUUAUCAUACUGCUCAAUAUCUUCCUCAUCUUUCCUUUGUCUAGCUGAUGGCUUUAAGCAAUUUCCCAUGAUCUUGAGGAGUUAGAUAAAAAAAGGAACACUUCCUUAGUGGAUUACUAGUCCCAAAAUGGUAUU
rnacentral:misc_RNA from 1 species